rnacentral:rRNA from 1 species
CCUACGGGUGGCAGCAGUGAGGAAUAUUGGUCAAUGGGCGCGAGCCUGAACCAGCCACGUAGCGUGAAGGAUGAAUGCCCUACGGGUUGUAAACUUCUUUUAUAAAGGAAUAAAGUGCGGCACGUGUGCCUUUUUGUAUGUACUUUAUGAUUACGGCUCGGCUAACUCCGUGCAAGCAGCCGCGGUAAUACGGAGGAUCUGAGCGUUAUCCGGAUUUAUUGGGUUUAAAGGGAGCGUAGAUGGGUUGUUAAGUCAGUUGUGAAAGUUUGCGGCUCAACUGUAAAAUUGCAAUUGAUACUGGCAGCCGUGAGUACAGUUGAGGUAGGCGGAAUUCGUGGUGUAGCGGUGAAAUGCUUAGAUAUCACGAAGAACUCCGAUUGCGAAGGCAGCCUACUAGACUGCCACUGACAUUGAUGCUCGAAAGUGUGGGUAUCAAACAGGAUUAGAUACCCGGGUAGUC